AGAAGCCAUCCCAGUUCGGAUUGCAGGCUGAAACCCGCCUGUAUGAAGUUGGAAUCGCUAGUAAUCGCGGAUCAGCAUGCCGCGGUGAAUACGUUCCCGGGCCUUGUACACACCGCCCGUCACACCAUGAGAGUCGGGAACACCCGAAGUCCGUAGCCUAACCGCGAAGGGGGGCGCGGCCGAAGGUGGGUUCGAUAAUUGGGGUGAAGUCGUAACAAGGUAAC
rnacentral:rRNA from 1 species